UACGUAGGGUGCAAGCGUUGUCCGGAAUUAUUGGGCGUAAAGAGCUCGUAGGCGGUUUGUCGCGUCUGCUGUGAAAACUCAGGGCUUAACCCUGAGCCUGCAGUGGGUACGGGCAGACUAGAGUGUGGUAGGGGAGAUCGGAAUUCCUGGUGUAGCGGUGGAAUGCGCAGAUAUCAGGAGGAACACCAAUGGCGAAGGCAGAUCUCUGGGCCGUAACUGACGCUGAGGAGCGAAAGCAUGGGGAGCGAACAGG
rnacentral:rRNA from 1 species